AUACUUACCUGGCAGGGGAGACACCAUGAUGUAGGUGGUUUUCCCAGGGUGCAGGUGAUCCAUUGCACUCCAGGCAGACUGCAAUUUCCCCCAAUGUGGGAAACUAGAAUGCAUAAUUUGUGGUAGUGAGGAACUGUGUUCAAACUCUAAACUGUAAGCUCCUUG